rnacentral:rRNA from 1 species
AGUGAACGCUGGCGGCAUGCUUUACACAUGCAAGUCGAACGGUAACAGGCCUUCGGGUGCUGACGAGUGGCGAACGGGUGAGUAAUGCAUCGGAACGUGCCCAGAGGUGGGGGAUAACGCAGCGAAAGCUGUGCUAAUACCGCAUGUGAUCUGAGGAUGAAAGCGGGGGACCAGGCAGCAAUGUUUGGCCUCGCGCCUUUGGAGCGGCCGAUGUCAGAUUAGGUAGUUGGUGGGGUAAAGGCCUACCAAGACGACGAUCUGUAGCUGGUCUGAGAGGACGACCAGCCACACUGGGACUGAGACACGGCCCAGACUCCUACGGGAGGCAGCAGUGGGGAAUUUUGGACAAUGGGCGCAAGCCUGAUCCAGCAAUGCCGCGUGCGGGAAGAAGGCCUUCGGGUUGUAAAACGCUUUUGUACGGAAAGAAAAGGAUCUGGCUAAUACCUGGGGCUGAUGACGGUACCGUAAGAAUAAGCACCGGCUAACUACGUG